rnacentral:rRNA from 1 species
AACGGGUGAGUAAUACAUAAGUAACCUGCCCUAGACAGGGGGAUAACUAUUGGAAACGAUAGCUAAGACCGCAUAGGUACGGACACUGCAUGGUGACCGUAUUAAAAGUGCCUCAAAGCACUGGUAGAGGAUGGACUUAUGGCGCAUUAGCUGGUUGGCGGGGUAACGGCCCACCAAGGCGACGAUGCGUAGCCGACCUGAGAGGGUGACCGGCCACACUGGGACUGAGACACGGCCCAGACUCCUACGGGAGGCAGCAUG